rnacentral:lncRNA from 1 species
GGGAAACGGCAAUAGGUCAUAUGUAGACGGGUAUGGUGUUCUGUAGGUGUAAGUUUGUACUUUCGGCUUUAAGCCGAAUUGUUCUUGCAUCACCUCUGCAAUACGUGCUGACCAAUCUGGCUGUUGCUGGUGAACCGUUGGCUGAGGUAUUGGCACGUGCUGGUAAACUGGAGGCGGAAUAAUCUGAGGCUGAGUGAAAGCAGGUGGCAUCUGAUUGAAAGCCGGUUGCGUAUUGAAC